GGCCUGGGGGGAGGGGCUGGGGUCAAGAUGGCGGACUAGGAGGACGCAGAGUUCGCGUCUCCUCACAGCUAGGGUACCUACCAGGCACCGGUGGGGGACCACGGACACCGAAGGGGUCGGGAGGAACCCUCUGCGACCGGAGAAAAUGAAUGGGGGAUAAGAACGACUGUCUCUCAGCUGCCAUACAGCUGUUGGAGGUAAACCACUGAUGAUGGAGCAUUUGAGGGACGAAAAACUAGCAAACAACAGAGACUCGAUGCUAUCAGGCCCCAGAAUUGGCCAGGAAAGGUCUCAACACAGACAGGAUCACUCAGAAAAAACACCUCCAAACGCUUGCUGAACAGCUGCCCUGUGCCUGGCUCUAGACAGUUCCUGGGUUAGAAGGGAAGGAGCCACGGUCCCUGCAGGGAGGACCACACAUUCUCGAGCAGAACAAAGGCAAGUGGUGAAGAUUUCGUGUCAUGUUGGCUAAGUGUUUAAGAGAGUGCGAGGUGAAGGAAUACCAAUGCUUCUUAAACUAGAACUUUAUUUUCUUCUACUUUGAAGUGAGCUAUAUGUGUCAGUCUUUAGGCACUUAAGUCUUUAGAACGGUAGAACAUUUCCAGAUUCCAGACACAUGAAAAAAGAUAUUUCCGAAAGUGAAGACCAGCCUCCCCGUGCUGUCAUGCACACACGUGCGACAUCUCUUCUCCAUGUGCACUGUGUUGAAGGAAUAGCAUUUGGGUUCUAAAAGAAGACUGACCUGCUUGGUGCUUCCCUGGUGGCUCAGUGGUUGAGAAUCUGCCUGCCAAUGCAGGGGACGCGGGUUCGAGCCCUGGUCUGGGAAGAUCCCACAUGCCGCGCAGCAACUAAGCCUGUGCACCACAACUACUGAGCCUGUGCUCUAGAGCCCGUGAGCCACAACUACUGAGCCCACGUGCUGCAACUACUGAAGCCCUCAUGCCUAGAGCCCGUGCUCCACAACAAGAGAAGGCACCACAAUGAGAAGCCCGCUUAUCACAACAAAGAGUAGACCCCGCUUGCUGCAAUUAGAGAAAGCCCAUGCUUAGAGAAAGCCCGUGCGCAGCAACAACGAAGACCCGACACAGCCAAAAUUAAAUAAAUGUAUUAAAAAAAUAAAUUAAAUAAAAUAA